AUAAUAAAAACUUGCUUUUUCUAAUCGCUCAAUCAGUCAAUAAAUAACACUAGCGAAUAGAAAAAGCCAGUUUUUAUUAUUUCAAAUAAUUUAAUCGCUAGAAAUACCGCGUAAUUUCGCUCAGAGUAUAUUAAUGGUCACUAGCUAUUAUUUUGAAAAUUUGUGACUAAGAAUUUUCAUGCAAAGAUCAAGUCAAAUGUUGGAGAGUAAUUGAAGUUCAGGACAUACUUGACUGUUAUGACAGUUGGGUUGUGGAGCAUUCAUUCUUUGAAACUUUUUUUUAACAAGGACGUGCACUUCUAAAUUUCAAACCUCUCCUUUCAGAGACGAAGCCUACUCCACAAAGAAGAUGAAGCCAUUUCGAUAAACUCUUGUAUGCUACGAGUAGGGUCAUAGAUAGGAAACCUGGGCCGGGGUGAAAUUUAUGCUUUCCAGUGUUUUCACUUUGGCCCCGAUGAGGGUCCAUCAGCCCCCCUUCGAUGGGUAUCCUCUUAAAGAAUCUCGAUUUUUUUAGCUCCGUUUUCUUCCUGAAAACGCAACUAAACUCCGACACUUAUCUCAACGUUGAAUACACCUGGUGAUUCAUUACAGAAACAAACCUAAUGACAGGGGGGUGAAUCCCCCUGUCUCGGAGUUUUAGCGGGAGUAUGGCAUCAUUGAAAUAAAGGAAUAUUAAGUGGGCCCGCAUAAUUUUCAACUCAAGUCUGGAUUUCCUCUCUGCGGUCCUGGCUGUUAAACAUAUGACGGAAUACUUUCAUCAAAAACUUGGAGGCAAGCAUCGAUGAUGCAGGAAAUAGUAGAUAAAUUGGGAUGUGACGUUUAUAUCCUCUCACUUUGCGUCAACACAUGGAUGGACUGCAAAACCAACUAGUUAUUAGAAAUUACCUAAUCGAUGAAAAGGUUUGGAUUUGAAGCACUGAAGGUGACAAAUAG